AUUGAACGCUGGCGGCAGGCCUAACACAUGCAAGUCGAGCGAGCGGCGGACGGGUGAGUAAUGUCUGGGAAACUGCCUGAUGGAGGGGGAUAACUACUGGAAACGGUAGCUAAUACCGCAUACCAUCGGAUGUGCCCAGAUGGGAUUAGCUAGUAGGUGGGGUAAAGGCUCACCUAGGCGACGAUCCGUAACUGGUCUGAGAGGAUGAUCAGUCACACUGGAACUGUGACACGGUCCAGAUUCCUACGGGAGGCAGCAGUGGGGAAUAUGGGACAAGGGGCGAAAGCCUGAUCCAGCCAGGCCGCGUGUGUGAAGCAGGUCUUCGGAUUGUAAAGCACUUUAAGUUGGGAGGCGUUACCGACAGAGUAAGCACCGGCUAACUUCGUGCCAGCAGCCGCGGUAAUUC
rnacentral:rRNA from 1 species